GACGAACGCUGGCGGCGUGCCUAAUACAUGCAAGUCGAGCGGAACCUUUGGAGCUUGCUCCAUUGGUUUAGCGGCGGACGGGUGAGUAACACGUGGGCAACCUGCCCUGCAGAUCGGGAUAACUCCGGGAAACCGGUGCUAAUACCGAAUAGUUUGCGGCCUCUCCUGAGGCUGCACGGAAAGACGGUUUCGGCUGUCACUGCAGGAUGGGCCCGCGGCGCAUUAGCUAGUUGGUGGGGUAAUGGCCCACCAAGGCCACGAUGCGUAGCCGACCUGAGAGGGUGAUCGGCCACACUGGGACUGAGACACGGCCCAGACUCCUACGGGAGGCAGCAGUAGGGAAUCUUCCGCAAUGGACGCAAGUCUGACGGAGCAACGCCGCGUGAGUGACGAAGGUUUUCGGAUCGUAAAACUCUGUUGUGAGGGAAGAACACGUACCAGCUAACUACUGGUACCUUGACGGUACCUCACCAGAAAGCCACGGCUAACUAC
rnacentral:rRNA from 1 species